CAACCCUCAAGCUCUGCUUGGUAUUGGGUGCCACCUCAGGGUGCACCCCAAAAUCAGUGGCGGUGCCGUCUGGCUUCAAGCGUAGUAACACUUCUCGCUUCGGGGUCCAGGCGCGUGCUCGCCAAAACCACAUAUUUUUUCA
rnacentral:misc_RNA from 1 species